rnacentral:rRNA from 1 species
GAUGAACGCUGGCGGCGUGCCUAAUACAUGCAAGUCGAGCGAACAGACGAGGAGCUUGCUCCUCUGACGUUAGCGGCGGACGGGUGAGUAACACGUGGAUAACCUACCUAUAAGACUGGGAUAACUUCGGGAAACCGGAGCUAAUACCGGAUAAUAUAUUGAACCGCAUGGUUCAAUAGUGAAAGACGGUUUUGCUGUCACUUAUAGAUGGAUCCGCGCCGCAUUAGCCAGUUGGUAAGGUAACGGCUUGCCAAGGCGACGAUGCGUAGCCGACCUGAGAGGGUGAUCGGCCACACUGGAACUGAGACACGGUCCAGACUCCUACGGGAGGCAGCAGUAGGGAAUCUUCCGCAAUGGGCGAAAGCCUGACGGAGCAACGCCGCGUGAGUGAUGAAGGUCUUCGGAUCGUAAAACUCUGUUAUUAGGGAAGAACAAAUGUGUAAGUAACUAUGCACGUCUUGACGGUACCUAAUCAGAAAGCCACGGCUAACUACGUG